UACUUAGUGGUCACGCUUGGUCCGGAUUCACUGGGUGUAAAGGGCGCGUAGGCGGGUUAGCAAGUCAGAGGUGAAAUCUCCCGGCUCAACCGGGAAACUGCCUUUGAAACUGUUAAUCUUGAGUGCGGAAGAGAGAGACGGAAUUCCAGGUGUAGCGGUGAAAUGCGUAGAUAUCUGGAGGAACACCGGUUGCGAAGGCGGUCUCUUGGUCCGUAACUGACGCGCAGGCGCGAAAGCGUGGGUAGCAAACAGGAUGAGAUAACCCUGUAGUCC
rnacentral:rRNA from 1 species